GAGUUCCCAUAGCCAUAAAAUCAACUCUUUCUACGGCUAGACACUGCCUGCUAUAUCACAGCAUUGAAAAUAACACAUAUUUUAAGAUUUUUAUAAGAAUACGAUCAGGAAAAGCCGACUGUUUCUACAUAGCAUCCAUUUCGCACACGGUGCCACCAUUCUCGUCGGAAAAUGCCUUGUAACUCGCAAUCGCGAAACAAAUGCUGGACAUCAGCUGUCAACUUAGGCUAUGUAGGACUGGUGCUUGUCUUGGCUGGAGGGGCCUCUGCUAUGGAUGUGCUGGUAGCCAAUCAGAUCACAGCGCUCAACGGAACCAAGGUCAAAAUCUCCUGCACGUUCACAUCCUGUUACAAGGUGGAAAACAGCAAGUUUGCCAUGAACUGGAGCUACCAAGAGACAGCCAAUGACACCAGGGAUAUUUUCAUGAUCUUUCAUAAGAACAAGAUGCAGCCGACCGGCAUGCGGUUUGGGGACCGGGUGGCGUUCGUGGGGAACGUGGAGAAGAACGAUCUGUCGGUCACCCUGGAGGACGUGCAGAUCUCCGACGAGGGCUUGUACCACUGCUGGGUGCACAACCCACCGGACCGCGUGCUGGGCCUCGGGACCAUCGAGCUCGUUGUGGUGACAGAACUGCCGCCCCCUCGGGACACGACCAUCGCCGUGGUGAUCGGCGCGUCGGUGGGGGGCAUCCUGGCCCUGCUCAUCCUCUCCAUGGUGGUGGUGAAGUGCGUGCGUCGCCACCGGAAACAGGAGCUCAUCUCCGACGAGCAGAAGAUGGAGGAGGAGGGCAAGCUGGACCCGGAGGGGGGCACGGAGGAGGGCACCAAACAACUGUAACCAGGCUGCUGGUUCCAGAGGGCCUUGGGUUGGUGGAGCCUGCCCCGCCUCUAAUGUGCUGAAAUAUAUAUUCCCUGCCUGAAGAUGUAUAUUGAACCUUGCUUGAGUCAACGUCCUGCAACUGCCUCACCUUUAGCCCCGAUCCUCUUCUUGUUCCUUCGCACAAGAUCUCAGACUACGGGCAAAGGCCCACAUCCAAGCAACAAACUGCUUCAAGUCUACUGUACCGAACAGGCCGAUCUGAGUCUGGCUAUCCACAUGUCCUGGUUCCUUGGUCUUUCUUAGUGUAGAUGUCCCAGAAACUAAGCAUCUAGAUUACAGGUUAAGAACAAGUUAGGCUAGCCGUCUGAACACUGCCACUUUUGCUCUCUCUCUCUCUCUCUCUCUCUCUCUCUCUCUCUCUCAUGGACUAAAACAGUAGAAUGGGAAUCCAUGAGAAUAUUUCCACACAAGCGAUUUUGGUUUACUGGAGUCGUUAUUUAGCGUAUCUUCCAGAGUGUGUUGUGAUUUCAAUUUGUUUUUGUCUUCCACAAGCUGCCAAACUAUUUUAUAAAAAGGUAACAACUGUAUAAUAGAGUAAAAAAAAAAAUCUUUCUAAACAAGCACAUGUCACCGUGUCCCACUGUUGAGUAGUUUACCUGGCUAUCUAAAUGAAGAAUGAAGAUGUUUUUGUUUUCCCUUAACUAUGGAUAGGUUUCCUGUAUCUUUCCCCAAGCCUCAUGUUUAUCUCUAGGGACCAAUGUGGGACAGGCAUAUCCAUAUCUUCUUUAUAUGAUAGCUAGUUAGAGUGUCUGUGUGCCAAGUGUAUGAAGGGACAGUUUCAUAUGUGUGCUGGGUGGUGUACAUUCUUUUGUAUCUGUUUGCAUCUUGAGAACCCCUUAGAUAGCAUUUAACCCAGCGGUCCCGCUAGGGUACGUGCAUCUACUCCCAGAUCUUAGUAUGGGAGACAGAUACAGAAUGCAUCUGUGUGUGUGUGUGUGUGUGUGUGUGUGUGUGUGUGUGUGUGUGAGAGAGAGAGAAUGUGUUUGUGUAUGUUGGAGUUUGUGUUAUAUGGAUAAUUCCUCUUGGCGAAGAUCUGAACACUAAGGUAGUUAUUUUCCUUGUUUGUUGCACUGCUUGCUACUGUGUUGUUGAGUCAUGCCUUCGUCACCUGGGUGCAGUUUGUUGUGCAGUUAUUUGGCAUCGCACCUUAGCAUGUUUUCAUUUGCGCACACAAUGACAGAUCCCACUUAGUCUACGGAAAGCACUGUCAUCCCCCAAUACUGUACAAGUAUCAAUUAAAUAUGUUCCACUGCACCUAUACAUGCAUGAAGAGGUCUACUGACAGCAUAUCACAGACACACACAAAGGGAACAUUCAUGCAUACACCCUUAUUAGACACAGAGACCUCAUUACUCCACACAAACACAUACACACACACACACACACACACACACACACACAAACACACACACACACACACACACACACACACACACACACACACACAACAAAUGUCUGUAUACACACACACACACACACACACACACACACACACACACACACACACACACACACACACAUAAAGAUCAAGUAAUUCAUUUUUACAUGCUAGGAUGCAUAUCAUGCCUAGUUCACAAAUACAGUGUACCUUCAGGGAACAUAAACUUGAUACAUAAAAUUAAAUUUGUAAGGACAAAAACGAUAGACUUUAUAAGCCAAACACUGUACAGCAGGGGGGUUAAUACAAUUGCUAUUUUGGGAUCAUUUCUGGUGUCUUAUGUAUUUUGAAUGUAUUGUUUGAGACCUCAGUUUGUACAAUGAUUAAUUGUUAACAUUUUAGUUGUAUAACACUAUAUUCUAUUACGCAUAUGGUACAGAUAAAUAUAUGAAGAGUUAUGGUAUACACCUAUAUAGAGUUCUUUAAGCCAUCUAUCAAAGUUUAGAAUUGUGAAGGCUUAUAUUUUACUUAUCUCAACUGAUACUUUAUUAACCAGUGUAGCGCUGGGGAUAGCCACUGCCAGAGUAUUUUAUCAAAUAGAGUUUAAUAAAUUAGUUAAAAGACCACUUGCAUAUUUGUACAUCACAAUCAAUAAAUAGAGAACAAUAUACAUUAGGUAUAUAGAAUGCAGCAUAUUUACUAAACAAUCAAAUUUACCUCACUGACAAAAAUGUAAAUUUAAUUUAUAAAUCCUGAUUCUCAUAAGAAGCAUUUGUGGACCAAAACUUUUGUUUCUGAUGCUACAUUUGUCAGGCCGUAUAGGCGAGUUUAGAGUUUUGGUCUAUUACCAAUAGAAAGAUGGUAAAAAUGUGGUAGAACAUGGUAUGCUGCUGGCACAAAGCAUUGACAAUUGUGAAAUAUGAAAUCAAAGCUAAAGGGUUGUUCAUGCUGAGAAAGAUAACGAUAAUGCUAAAGGCAAAAAAGAAGGCAAAAUCACUCUAGCCAAUAUGAGUGAUAACACAUAUCCACACAUUAACUGUAACAAUAACGACAUGAAGAACAAUAUCAUCCGGGAUCACUUUCAGAGUGAUUAUGAGAACGAUAAAAAUCUGACAGUCAAUCAGAAUAAUCCUUUAAAUUCUAGACAGCACAUUAAUCAACACAGAGAUAUAUAUAUAUAUAUAUAUAUAUAUAUAUAUAUAUAUUUAUCAAUGGCCAGUGUGGAGGCUCGUCCACAAAUAUCUUUAUAGUUAUUGUUCCUGGUGUGAACGGCCCUUAAUCUAGACUGAAAUGUGACAUGACAUGAGGUUUUAUUACAAAUGUCAUGGACUAAUGUUAAGACAGUCCAUGGAGUUUUUGGACAAGAGACAUUUAUCGCAACCAUUAUGAAAGUUAUAAAGACCAGUACAAGGACUAGAUCGUUUUGCUCCAAAAUGUCCAUCAGAAAAGUCUCUAAAACCUAAUUGUAUCACUGGAAUUGAUUUAUUCUGUAUGAGCUGUUUGGAAAUGCUUAUUGCAUGUAAAGCCCUUAUUCAGGUUACCCAAAUGAAUCUGAACUGAAUCCAAUAAAGUGCAGGUCAUGUGGAGGUGUGCCCUGUGAAUGUUGGUUGUGAUGGCAUGAAGUCAUGGGCACUCUUUAUACAUACUCUUGAUGUCCCUUUUAAAACAUUAUUACACUGUGUUCACUGUAAAGAUGUCAUGACAUUUGAAAAUGCUUUGGAAAAACAAUCUAUUAUUUCUGUAACGUCUAAUUUUGUGAUAGUUAAAUGUAUAAUGCUAAUUUUGAGGACAACUACAUGUUAUCAUAGUACUCAGGCAGGGAAACACACACACACACACACACAUAAACACACAUACUGCACUUGUUUUGUUUGAUGUUAUAAAGAUGUGUGUUGGUGUCAUUGCUUAGGCAUUUGUUUAAAGCUGCUAACAACUAACACAUUCAAUUAAAUCAGUAAUUGAGGGUGUAUGUGGCUUAUUUGUACUAAAACCAAGCACAGCACAGCCCAAUGUCAACAACAACAACAACAACAACAAAAUACAAAUUUACCUCUGACUUUUCUAAAAUGAAUAAAUGCAUGCCAAUUUCAUAGAUAACAAAAAUGUCUAAAGUAAAACAUUUGGCAUUAUACAACACAUAUCCUCACCCCCUUACCCAAACCCAACCCACCC